rnacentral:rRNA from 1 species
GAUGAACGCUGGCGGCGUGCUUAACACAUGCAAGUCGAACGAAGCACCUUAGACAGAAGCCUUCGGGCGGAAGACUUUGGUGACUUAGUGGCGGACGGGUGAGUAACGCGUGGGUAACCUGCCCUGUACCGGGGGACAACAGUUGGAAACGACUGCUAAUACCGCAUAAGCGCACAGCAUCGCAUGAUGCAGUGUGAAAAACUCCGGUGGUACAGGAUGGACCCGCGUCUGAUUAGCUAGUUGGUGAGGUAACGGCUUACCAAGGCAACGAUCAGUAGCCGACUUGAGAGAGUGAUCGGCCACAUUGGGACUGAGACACGGCCCAAACUCCUACGGGAGGCAGCAGUGGGGAAUAUUGCACAAUGGGGGAAACCCUGAUGCAGCGACGCCGCGUGAAGGAAGAAGUAUUUCGGUAUGUAAACUUCUAUCAGCAAGGAAGAAAAUGACGGUACUUGACUAAGAAGCCCCGGCUAAAUACGUGCCAGCCGCCGCCGUAA